rnacentral:rRNA from 1 species
GACGAACGCUGGCGGCGUGGAUUAGGCAUGCAAGUCGCGCGACGGACCUUCGGGUUACGGAGCGGCGAACGGGUGAGUAACACGUGAACAAUCUGUCCCUACAUUCCGGAUAAUUGGCCGAAAGGCCUUGUAAUACGGGCGAGGAUGGUGGUGAGGCAUCUCACUAUCAGGGAAGGUGCAACGCAAGUUGUGCCGUGCAGGGAGGGGUUCGCGGCCUAUCAGUUAGUUGGGGGGUAACGGCCUACCAAGACGACGACGGGUAGCUGGUCUGAGAGGAUGGUCAGCCACAUUGGAACUGAGACACUGUCCAGACUCCUACGGGAGGCUGCAGUCGAGAAUCUUGGGCAAUGCACGAAAGUGUGACCCAGCGACGCCGCGUGGAGGAUGAAGGCCCUUGGGUUGUAAACUCCUUUUAUGGAAGAAGAACGUCCCUUCGGGACUUGACGGUACUCCAUGAAUAAGCCACGGCUAACUACGUGCCAGCCGCCGCA